rnacentral:rRNA from 1 species
GUGAGGAAUAUUGGUCAAUGGGCGAGAGCCUGAACCAGCCAAGUCGCGUGAAGGAAGAAGGAUCUAUGGUUCGUAAACUUCUUUUGCAGGGGAAUAAAGUACAGGACGUGUCCUGUUUUGUAUGUACCCUGAGAAUAAGGAUCGGCUAACUCCGUGCCAGCAGCCGCGGUAAUACGGAGCAUCCGAGCGUUAUCCGGAUUUAUUGGGUUUAACGGGUGCGUAGGCGGUUUGAUAAGUCAGCGGUGAAUGUUUGCAGCUUAACUGUAAAAAUGCCGUUGAAACUGUCGGACUUGAGUGUAAAUGAGGUAGGCGGAAUGCGAGGUGUAGCAGUGAAAUGCAUAGAUAUCACGCAGAACUCCGAUUGCGAAGGCAGCUUACUAAGCUACAACUGACGCUGAAGCACAGAAGCGUGAGGAUCAAACAGGAUUAGGAACCCUGGUAGUCC